AAUAUAAAAAUGAGUUUAUUAAUAGCAGAUUGUUUUGUCAAAAUCUUAAUCUAAAAAGAAACAAAAUGUAGAUUAGUCAAGUCUCUCCCUCUGAGAUGUACUGCAGUAGAAAGGAGCAGAAAUACUCCAGGAAAUUACUUAGUAGGCUGGAACUGCUACUUUACUUACUUUCCACUUCUGCAAGUUACACAAACAGAUCGAGAUAGAAAAUUAUUAAAGAUGCGUUGAAAGGAAAUCUCUUCAGAUCAGAUUUAAAUUCAACUCGACAUAAAGAAGCGACACUAAGUUACUUCCUCUUGGAGAGUUAGAGCUCAUUUAGUGACGCAGUUACAUAUAUUUUUAUAUUAGGCUACAUUUAUUUACUUAGAUAAUAAAAGGUUUAAGCUCCUCUGUGCCUGCAGACCGAGUCCACAUGAGUCCUGCAGGUAAAUCUCCUGACAGCGGCUCGUCUCUGCCUCCUCCACAGGCUGCUUCAGGCAGGAAAAGCUGCCUUCACUCAUCAGAAAGUGGAGCUACACAGUAACAACAGCUCCUGAGGAGAAACUAACUUUAAUUCUGCUCUUAUUUCGCUGUUUACAUCCCAAAUAUAGACAAACAACAUGGCGGACAUUUAUAAGUUAGUGGCGGCUGUUUCGCCUCCUUCCUCUUUUUUUUUUUACAGUGAAACUCAGCUGUGAGAUUGAAGAAAUGAAGCAUCCAGUGGCAGAUUUCUGCUGUUUGUAUUAUAACUACGAUAACGACAGUUUGUGUUAACGAGGAAAACAUUUUAAACAUGUUACAUUACCUUCAGAUGUGGUUUCAGACGGAGAAAACUAACUGCGCCUCAACCUCACGGAAGUGAAACUAAACUUUGAGGAAACACCAGAGAGGCCCGCGUGAGAGACACGUCUGGUUAAAUAAUUUUAAAACUACAAAGACCUCCACGGCCUCAGCGAACUGCCAGCCAGUAAGCUCUCGGUUCUGCCCGCAGCCUGGACACUUCCCCGCUCUCGGAUUUCCCCCCAACCCUGGACCUGGGAGAGAGCCUCAGCCUCGAUCCUCUGACUUCCCCUGCUCAUUCUCUUUUGAAUAAACUGUCUUAACUCAGA